AUACACGGAGAAACACACACACAAAUACGUGCGCACACACGCUCACACAAACACACACACAUAUGCGCACAGACACAGAAACACACACGUUAUCACUCUUUUUGCCCGAAUGUCAUAUCAUUCAUCUUGUUACACUUUCUCUCUCUCUCUCUCUCUCACACACACAGACACUUUCUCUCUCUUUCUUUUCUCUCUCUUUCUCUCUGCCUUUAACGUUUAUCUUGUCUUAUUAUAGCUAUCUUUUUCCACACCACCAACCCAACCACCCCUCCACUUUCAUUCACUCACUCACUCACUCACUCACUACUGAGUGGCAUCCCUCACCACAACUGAUUAUAAGUAGAUAACUUUGUAAAGAGCAAUGAAAUUAUUGGAGCAGUUGUCUCAAUCAACAACUUUGUCAUUAAGUUCAAUUAGUUUUAGCACCUCUCACUGAGACCGAUCCUGCUACUGAUGUACAGGUUUACCGUUUAACAGCUUUCCACGAUGAUACCGUUAUGACUGGCCUUAGAGAUUUACCAAAAAUACAAUGGAAUUAAAAGAAAUAAAGAAAAUCAAGAUCAAA